GAAAUGCGAUAAGUAAUGUGAAUUGCAGAAUUCAGUGAACCAUCGAAUCUUUGAACGCACAUUGCGCCCGCCAGUAUUCUGGCGGGCAUGCCUGUUCGAGCGUCAUUAACACCACUCAAGCCCCCGGGCUUGGCGUUGGGGAUCGGCAUCCGGCCUGGCGGCCCCUCGGGGCCCCGCCCGCCGUCCCCCAAAUACAUCGGCGGUCGCCCGUGGGCUCCCCUGCGUAGUAGCAACACCUCGCACCGGACGUCCCGCGCGGCCACGCCGUAAAACCCCCGACUUUUUUCAGUUGACCUCGAAUCAGGUAGGACUACCCGCUGAACUUAA
rnacentral:misc_RNA from 1 species